AGGCUGGUCCGUGCGACUGGUGAGCCCUGUCCGCCAGAGAGGGCUUCGUAAGAGGGAACCCGGUGAGAAUCCGGGACUGCCCCGCAGCGGUGAGUGGGAACGACCGCCGUCAUACGCACUGGACCCGGCCGGGUCUGGGAAGCGACGGCCAUUAGGUGUCCCGUGACCUUCACGAGACGAGCCCACGAGUCCGAAGACCUGCCCGUUGCCCGUGCGCGAC
rnacentral:ncRNA from 2 species